rnacentral:rRNA from 1 species
UACGUAGGGUGCAAGCGUUUUCCGGAAUUAUUGGGCGUAAAGAGCUCGUAGGCGGUCUGUUGCGUCGGCUGUGAAAACCCGAGGCUCAACCUCGGGCCUGCAGCCGAUACGGGCAGACUAGAGUUCGGCAGGGGAGACUGGAAUUCCUGGUGUAGCGGUGAAAUGCGCAGAUAUCAGGAGGAACACCGGUGGCGAAGGCGGGUCUCUGGGCCGAUACUGACGCUGAGGAGCGAAAGCGUGGGGAGCGAACAGG